rnacentral:ncRNA from 2 species
UGUCAGUUUCAGGGAAGGUGAAAUUCCUUACUGGCGGUAACUGUGCACCCGGGAUUCAUAACGGGAGCGUACAGAAGCCCGCGACCCGCGAAAGCGGCUGAUCCGGUGAGAUUCCGGAGCCAACGGUUACAGUCCGGAUGGAAGAAACGAGGG